rnacentral:misc_RNA from 1 species
GCUUUGGGAUAGGAUUCCAUUUAAAGAAUGGCUAGAGCAAUCUAAGGGAAAGCGCAACAGAAAACAAACCGCCACAAUGGCAAGGGUGAAAAGGUGGGGUAAGAGCCUACCGAAAGUGCAGUAAUGCACUUUGCUUUGCAAGCCCAAUCCGCAGCAAGAAAGGUAUGGUUAAUAUCCCAAGAAUUGAGCCUUUUGCUAGAGUUUUGCUGCAAGGCAAAAUGUAGAUAAAUAGCCACAUAA